rnacentral:lncRNA from 1 species
UUAUUUAAAAAGUGCUUGUAAAUUAUUUUUAAACCUACUUAAUACCUUUGUUUGGUAAAUUGAUAAGGAUGUUUGUUGAUAAGAAAAAAAGGUAUAAAAAAUGAAGUUCAAUGUGCUUUGUAUGAAGUGAUUGUAAAGAAAUUGGUUAAUGUAUUUGUUGUUGUACCAAAUGGUAAUAAUUGGAAGUGCAGAAGAAAUGGAAGAAAGAUGUAAGUACCUUCAUAUGUGGUUAGAAGUAGCAACCUAUGCAAUGUCUGUGUCUGCAAUUAAGCUUAAAGACUUUCCUUGCACGUUCCUUUCUUCUCUCAUCACCGACACUCUUUCUUCCUAACUUUAAUAAUUCCUCACGAGCAUUUACGUUUCCUUUCUCAAACCCAUAACAAUAUAUCUUUUAUCUCUGAAAAAAUCUAAACUCUAAAUCCUAAAUCCGAUAUAUGAUUGAGACUCUCGCAAGAGUACAUUUUAAAAUAUCAAGUUGAACCGUUGUCUAAAGUUGUCUAAUUUGUAUAAUUUGCUUACUGAACUUAAUACUAAGAUUAAUUAGGUAAUUUGUGUUAAACCUGAUCCACAAAGCAAAACUCGGAUUGAUCCUACCAAUACACAAUUAAUGAAUUUUGAACACUAAUUUAAUCAUUUGGAAAAUGUUUUGCAUAUAUUCACUACAAGAAAAUCAUGAAAUAGAAAUCAAUUUUUAGAGACCAAAAUAAUUAGUUGCAAUAGUAACUAAAUUAUAGACCAUUUUAGAAACUAAACAAAAAAUUGGUUUCUAAAUUAGUUUUUAUUAUUGUUAAAUAGUUUCUAAAUUGGUAUCUAAUUAGCAACCAAGGUUUUAGAGACCAAAUUUAGAAACUAAAUACUUGGUAGUUAAAACCUUGGUUGCUAAUUAGAUACCAAUUUAGAAACUAUUUAACCAUAAUAGAAAAUAAUAGAAACUAAUUUAGAAACCAAUUUUUUGUUUAGUUUCUAAAAUGGUAUCUAAUUUAGUUACUAUUGCAACUAAUUAUUUUAGUUUCUAAAUAUUGGUUUUUAUUUCAUGAUUUUCUUGUAGUGAUUCUUUCACUCUUAUAAAAUAAACGAUAGUGAAUAUAUAUUAAACCCAACUAAUAGAGAAAUUGAAAAAAAAAAAGAGACAUUCUCAAUUCAUAUGAAAAAUCCAACAAUUUUAACAAUUUAUUAAUUAAGUUUAUAAUUUCAAUUCCUAUUUUUACAUUGAACCAAUAAUCCAAUUUUUUUCUACAGUCACUCUAUAACUUCCAAUAGUGUUCUUUUAAUCAUUAAUUUACUUUUCAUUAUAUGUAUAUUUUUUUUGUUAAAAGUGUCACAUGAGCGUUCUUACAACUCCCUAAGCUGUGAAAUUAUAAGUUUUCUUUCACCAACAUACCUAACUUAUAUUAAAGUUACAAAAUUUUAUAAUAAUUGUAUGAUAUAUAAGUCCAUUUUAUAAUAAUAAGAUUAAAUUUAGUAAGAUAAGAAAUCUCAUCUUAAAAAUAUCAGUCCAAAAAUUAAUAAAAAUACAUUGACAACUUCAAUUUCUACUUCAACUACAUCAUGACUCUUAAAUUAUUAUUUUAAUAUUUUUCAUAUAAUUUAAUUACAAAUUUACUUUUUAUUAAUGCCAUUUAUUUUUAAAUUAAUAAAAUCAUACAACUCACAAUAUUUUCAAACUAUCAUUUCCCAUAACAAUUGAAAGCAGUCAAUAAUUUCUCAUUUCUCCUUCACCCCAUUGCCUAUAUAAAUGCUCAUCAUCACAUGCCAAAACAUAUAUUCGCAGACACAAGCAACAACAUUAAAACCUUGGAGAUUACAAUGUCUUCACCAUCUUUUUUCCUUCUCUUUCUCUUCUUUCUCUCAGCUCCAUCACUCUUAGCUCAAUCUUCACCUUCUUCUUCUUCUUCUUCUUNNNNNNNNNNNNNNNNNNNNNNNNNNNNNNNNNNNNNNNNNNNNNNNNNNNNNNNNNNNNNNNNNNNNNNNNNNNNNNNNNNNNNNNNNNNNNNNNNNNNAUGCGAACCGUUGGAUCAAGCGAAUCCAACGGUUGAGGUUUUUGCGACGUUUGGAAUUUCAAGGUCCUCCCGGGCUAUAAAUAGGGGCUGGGAACAGUAGUGUUUCACGCGUUAUCUUUGUUUGAGCUCCGACACUUCGAAUCAAUUCGACCGAUCUCAGUUGCCUUCUUCGUUCGUCCAAAGGUUAGUCAUGUCUGCUCCUUCUGAGUCUCCCCCCCCCCGCCCUCUUCUCUUCUUCUUCUUCUUCUUUCUUCUUCUUCUUCUUCUUCUUCUUCUUCUUCUUCUUCUUCUUCUUCUUCUUCUUCUUCUGCUUGCAAAGCCACACUAUAUCCAAAACUAUGCCGUUCCAUUCUCACAGCCAUUCGUGCAUCCCCUUCUGACCCUUAUGGCUAUGGCAAGUUCUCCAUCAAGCAAAGCCUCAAACAAGCACAGAAACUGGCCAAGGUGUUUGAGGACUUUCUGCAACGCCACCAAGCAUCUUCUUCCCUGAACCAUGCAGAAGUUGCAUCCCUUGCUGACUGCAGAGACCUGAACAACCUGAACGUGGAGUACUUGGCCUCCAUAUCAGAGGAGCUGAAAUCUGCAGGGUCCUCAGAGUCAGACUCUGAGCUGGUUCAGAAGAUGGAGAGCUAUCUGAGUGCUGUGGCCACCAACCAGUACACCUGCUAUGAUGGGUUGGUGGUGACCAAAAGCAGCAUUGCCAAUGCCCUUGCCCUGCCACUCAAGGGUGCCACCCAGUUGUACAGUGUCUCACUUGGGUUGGUCACUCAGGCUCUCGACAAGAAUCUCAGAAGAAGCAAGACCCGCAAACAUGGACUCCCCACCCCCACCUUCAAGGUUAGGCAACCACUCGAGAAGCUCAUCAAGGUAAUCCUUCUUUCUCUUCACUAUAUUUCUUCUUCUUUUUUGGUUCCACCGCAAAAGAUACUCCGACACUCAAGUCAGUAACAACAUAAAAUAUAAUAAGUAUAAUGUAAAAUAUGAGUUUUGAAGUAUUUCUGUGUUGUUGUGUCUUCCAAUGGAUACUUCUGCACACUCAACUUUAAUUUUGUGAUCUCAUGGUGUUGAAAAUCCUAUCUUGACUAGAGAUAAAAGACAUUUCAUAGUAUAUUACUUCUUAAUAAGUGUUAGAGUCAUUUAUAACCUAUCUUAAUAAGAAUUUGUUGAACUCGUCACUGUUACCAUUUUUUAAUUUUUAGAGAAAAUUUUCAAAUUAUUACUCUAAAUUAUGUAUAAUUUAUAGACACAAUAAAUAAAAAAAUAACUAAAAAUAAUAUUUAAUAGUAUAUAAGUGAGUGUAAACCUCAUUUUAUAAACCACUCUUAUAAACUUAUAAAUCAGGCAAGUCCAAUUUUAAUACAAAUUUUAAUACAUGGUAUAUUAUGGAAGUGAGACAAAUCUCAACUUACUAGGAUUUGAUAAAGUUAAUUUAAACUCAUUUUUUAAUGUGAUAUUAAAAUUUAUCUUAACUUGUUCUACUUUAUGUUACCACUUAGUUUGGGUUGGAGAAAAAAGUUACACUUCCAAGUAAAUCAUAGUGCACUUAACUGAUUUUUCUGAUUUUGUUGGAGAUGAUUACAAUAUAGAGGUGAGUGUAAAUUUUUGAGACAGAAGUACUUUAAAGUGGUUUGUUUGUGUACCAUUUGUAUCACCGACACAUCUAAACUUCAAACUAUGUUUUUUUGUCUUUUUUCAUGAUAGGUAAGUGUAUAUUAGUUUUGUCCAAGUUAGGUUUAUUUUUAUCUGCAAGGAGAAGCAUUUAUGAUCUAUGGCUGGUGCCAACUUUUGGUUCAUUGCAUCAUCUGAACCAAACACAGUAAAGCUUGCUUCUAGCAGAAUCAAAUCUUUACUACUUUUUUACUUUUUGGUAUUACUUGAAAGUUAAACAAUUAUGAAUGUUUUUAAUCUUUAUUCAAACAUUCAAACUAUGUUUAACAUUAUUUUUUGUCUAGUUAAAAAAUAUAGUAAUUUUUAACUCAUUGAAUUAAACUCAACUUAUAUUUCUUCAUUUUUUAUUGAAUUAAACUCAAAUCUUAACAUAAUGUUAAAAAUUAUUUUAUUUAUUAUUUUUGGGUUUCUCAAAUCUAAUCAUCCUUUAUUAUAUUAGAUACAUGCAUAUAUAUAUAUAUAUAUAUAUAUAUAUAUAUUUCCUGACUUGGCUAAUUUCAACUUCUAAGAUGAACAGCUUGAUGAUAAAAAGCAAUGAUGGGUCAAGUCAACCACAUGCAUGAUGCUUUAAUGUGUUGACUAUAGGUCAAAGAAGUAGGCUCUGUUUUCCUCUGUUUUUGACAUGAAUGCUUUGACAUAAUUUAACAAUUUCAUGAUCGUUCACGUGAAGUCUUUCUUGUUUCCACCAUUUGCACCACUCCAUGCACGUGAAAUCUGCAUUUUUUGCUACAUCUCAUUGUGUAUACCUUAUAUUAGUGUCAAAGUUGUUUAGAUUUUGCAGAUCAAUUCAUCAACAAAGAUUCUUAGUUGUUACCACAGUUCAUAAGAGAAAAUUUCUUCAUACUUACUGGCCCUUUUUACAACCAUAAACAUAUAAGAUUAUUUUGAAUUAUUGUGUAUCACUUGCAACCAAAUCAGAUGCAGAUAUCAUAUUAAGAAGUGAACUUUAACUCAAUCUUAAAAAAUCAAUUUGCAAUGUUGCACUACUAAUAAUAUACUAUGAAACUUACUUAUUGGAUCUUCAACAUUACUUAAUCAAGCAUGGUUAAAAUUAGUUAUUCCACCAUAUAUAUUGAAAGCAUAAAGUGUCAAGUGAAAGGCUAAAUAGUGAAUGUUAUAUUGUUGCAGCUUCUUCGCACAAAGUAUAGUUGCACCAAGUUAUCCAAUUGCAGCAGAGCUGGAAGGAAUCUUAAAGAAAGCGGAAGCCAAGGAAUUUUAUUACAUGAUUUUGUGUUUGUGAGUUCUCAUGGAAUAGACAAUUACACUUCCAUUGGAGAGGCUAUUGCUGCUGCACCCAAUAACACAAAGCCUGAAGAUGGAUAUUUCCUUGUGUAUGUUAGGGAGGGAAUCUAUGAAGAAUAUGUAGUAAUUCCCAAAGAAAAGAAGAAUAUAUUGCUUGUUGGAGAUGGUAUUAACAAGACUAUCAUCACAGGGAACCAUAGUGUCAUAGAUGGUUGGACAACUUUCAAUUCUUCCACAUUUGGUAACUCCUUUAUUCUUUCUAGCUCUUCUCAUUUGCAAAGACCAGUUUUUACUUGUCAUAAUAUAAUAGCAAGUCAAGUGUCAUCAGGAAUUUUUCUUUUACUGAGAUUCACUUGACAGUUAACACCAUCAGCUUUUGAAUUAGUAUCAUGAAUGCUUUAGCAUCAAUUAUACGGUGGAAUCUUCUGCUGAAAAAUCCAUUAACGUUAAUCACUGCCCUUUUGUUAAAAUUUAGCCUAAUGGUUGAUAUCGACUAGAAAUUAGGACAUUUCAUAGUAUAUAAGUGGAUGCAAAUCUCACCUUAUAAGCCGGUUUUAUAAGGUUGAGUUAGACUUAAAGUCCACUUCUUAAUAUGGUAUCAAAACCAUUUCAAACCUAUCCUAGCGAUUGUUUGUUCAGUUUAUCAGGCCAUCGUUAUCGGAUUAGCCGUAAUAUAUAAUCUCACGUUAUAAAGCCGGUUUUAUGAGUUUGAGUUAGGCUUAAAGUCCACUACUUAAUACUAAUAAAUAGAAUAUUUGCUUGUGUUGAAUGCAGCUGUUUCUGGAGAAAGGUUUAUAGCAGUGGAUGUUACAUUCAGAAACACAGCUGGACCUGAAAAACACCAAGCAGUGGCAGUGAGGAACAAUGCUGACCUCUCUACAUUCUACCGUUGCAGUUUUGAAGGAUAUCAAGACACUCUCUAUGUUCACUCUUUGAGGCAAUUCUACAGGGAAUGUGAAAUCUAUGGCACUGUGGACUUCAUUUUCGGCAAUGCAGCCGUGGUCUUCCAAAACAGUAAGAUCUAUGCCAGAAAACCAUUGCCAAACCAGAAGAAUGCUGUGACAGCACAAGGAAGAAAUGAUCCUAAUCAGAACACUGGCAUUUCAAUCCAAAACUGCACCAUUGAUGCUGCACCAGACUUAGCUAUGGACUUGAAUUCUACAGCAAGUUACUUAGGCCGGCCAUGGAAGGUGUAUUCAAGGACCGUCUACCUGCAGUCAUAUAUUGGAAAUGUUAUUCAACCUGCGGGGUGGUUAGAGUGGAAUGGCACAGUUGGGUUAGACACCCUCUUUUAUGGUGAGUUUAACAACUAUGGACCUGGUUCUAACACUAGCAGUAGAGUACAAUGGCCUGGUUACUUUCUGUUGAAUGCUACUCAAGCUUGGAACUUCACAGUCCUGAACUUUACUUUGGGAAAUACAUGGCUUCCUGACACAGAUAUACCUUACAUUGAAGGACUGUUAAUAUAGGCAGCUGAAUGUUUAUAUUGAAAAGAUAAUUUUGCUUCAUUAUUUGUUAGAUGCAAUGUAGCUCUAUGACUUCCUUGUAAAGGAAGAGCAUCCAAAAGGGAUGAUGAGAGAGUCAUUGAUGUUCUUAUGAAAUUCUCAAGUAUUAAUAAGAAUAUAUACAAGUUUGUAGAAAUAAUGUACUUGAAAGAAACUAGGAAAGUUGGUCCACAAUGAUUCUUUAUAUCCCCAUGUGCCUUUCUUUUACUUCUAGAUGUGAGUAGAGUUGCAUGCUUGUCUCCACUCACCACCAACAACAGCAACAGUGAUAGUCCUAUUCCACUACAUGAAGUUGGCUACAUGGAUUGGAAGGCUAUCACAUCAUUGGACUUAGUUAAAAAGAAAAGAAAAAUCUCAUAAUAUUGUUCACCAUAAGAUCACUUUUACAAUCCAUGCUUGUCUCCAAGUGAAACAAAAUUGAGAGAAAGGGACAGAGAUUGGUGCAAACUAUGUAUGAACAAAAAAAAAGUCAAAUGAAAAGAAUCAUUAUACACUUUCAAAUUAAUAAAACAAAUCAUGAAGAUCAAGGGAAAGGGAAAAUAUUCCAAAAGGGCAAACAAUUUUGACAAAGGGAGUUUUGCAAAUUGCAUAAUAUGGCUGUUGUCAUAGAUCAGACUUAAAUGGGGCACCUGCUGCAGAAAUCCAUUUAUCUCCAUGUAGAAAACCCUUGAUGGUAAACUUUCUGGCUUGUUCACUGGUAAUGGUUCUCAAACCCUUCCACUUCACCCUAUUCUUUGUUGAAGAACCAGGUCCAACAUUCUGAAAUUCUGCAUAGAAAAUAGUGUUUGGAGCAGAGUUCCCUGUCCAUGGUAACCAGCCUUUGGGGUUCACAAAACCUUCCAUUCUGGAUUUCAUGUACACGGUGGUUGAGUAAUUCUUCCAGGGUCUUCCAAGAUAUGUCUGGACAGAACUCAAGUUACCAAAGGGUGAAAUGCUGCAAUUCUGAAUGGAGAUCCCAGUGUUCAUGUUAGGGUCAGUUUUUCCCUGAGCUGUGAUUGUAAUUUGCUGGCCAUGCAUUGGCAACUUUGGCCUAAUAUUGCAGUUUUGGAUCACAACAGCAGAAUUUCCAAAAAUGAAAUCAACAGUGCCAUAGAUGUUGCAUUCUCUGUAGAAUUGGCGGUUGGAAUGAGCAUAGAGAGUAUCCUGAAAUGCAUCAAUGUGGCACCUAUAGUAAACUGCUUGAUCAGCACUUGUCAUUAGUGCUACUGCUUGAUGCUUCUGUGGACCAGCAGUGUUCCGAAAACCAAUAUCCCUAGCUAUGAAAUUCCUUCCAAAUACAGCUGAUUGCACCCAACAAAUCACAAACAAAAUUUUUCCUAGUUAUCCCAACUGUGUUUAUGAAUUGAUACACAUUAAAUUUGAAGCCUAAUUCAAUUUCAUGCACAAAUAAUGUAAAGGUCUUUACACAACUAACCAAUGAAAAAUCAUCUUAGGUAGGACUUCAAAAAUAGUCAUGAAAAAGUAAGUAUUCUGCAUGCAAUCUGGACUUAUUGACAGUGUGAAAUCUUUGCAAGGUUAGUGUAUUAUAAUGAAAUUCUUAGUUGAAUAAUACCUUUUUCUGUUCUUUUUUGUCAAUUUUAGUUUUCUUUUCUAUAAAGGUCUUAGAAGAUAGACUUUAGAAAAUAGAUUUUAAGCCUAAAAGGAAUGAGUAUAAUUUUCACUGACCAAAUGUUGCUGUUGAAAAUGUUGGUGUGCCAUCCACAAAGUUAAGGCUAGCAGAUACAAUAGUAGAAGUCAUUCCAUCACCAAUGAUCAUUACAUUCCAUUUGGUCUUCUCAACCCUCACAUUUUCAUAGUAAACCCCUCUCUUCACAUAGAUCACAGUCCUCUUGUUACUCUCAUUAGGAACAUGUUUAAGUGCAUCAGAAAUUUUCUUAUAUUUCCCACUGCCAUCUUUGGCCACAACAAUGUCAGCUUUCUUCCUCAAAUCCUCUGUCAGAAGGAGCCUCCUAUCGUUUGAAGGAAGCCACUCUGGUGCUUCAUUCUGAUGAUGUAAACUCAGUAAGCGCCUAAGGUUCAGUGUGGUUGCAGCCUUGUUGAUCCAUGUAAUGAUGGCAAGACUGUUACUGGUGAACUGCGUAGAAUUUUUAAGAUAGCUUACUACACUUUUCUUAAUUGCUUCUUUUCCAUCUUCAAAUCCUUCAAUACAAGUCUGCUGGUAUGUACCUAUUUCAACACACAACAAAACAAAUUCUACAGUUGUUGUUAUCAAGCAAAAGGGACACAAAAUAAGAAAGUUGGUCAAGUGAAAACAUCGUAGUUACUUGCCAAGAAACAUCCUUGGAUGCAUGUCUAUAACAUCUGACUAUGCUAGCAUAUAUAUAUAUAUAUACUUAUAAUUAAUAUAUAGUACCUGCAGCACUUAACCAUGUUUCAAGAUCAUCAAAAACUUCAAGAAGAGAAAACUUUUCCCCUGAUGUCAAAGAGCUAUUCAGAUGGUCAACCGCAAGAUCCAAAAGCUCCCUGCAAUUUUUGAAAGCCUCCUUAGUCCUGUUGUCCUUCGCCACCCCAUUGAAAACUCCAUGAUCACUGAGAUAAUCAGCAGCUUUGGACACUUCAGAUAAGGCCACCUUCAUUGACAACAUGAACAGCUCCUGAGGCUGAAGCUGCCUUGAGUCCACAGCAGAACCAAGGCUGCUAUAGCACGAGUCCUUGUACAAUGUCACAUCACAAACAGCCUUCACUGAAUUUGUCACAGUGUGAGCAUCAUUGGCACCUUCUGAGGAGUUGGUGCUGCCAAGAAUGCAAAAUACAGCAGCAAAAACAACACCUGCUAGAACUAUUGAGGACAACCCUAUGAUUGUGAUUCUCUUCCUGGUUUUCCUCCUUGUCUCCAACACCCUUUGCUCAUGCUCAUCAACUUUCCCAUAGGAUUUGAAGGAUGACAUGCUGAAAACUUGUGUUGUACUCUCAAGAAUAUUGUUGAGGUAGAUUAUGUGAAAUCUUUAAAAAGUAUAAUCACAUUCUCCAACACUACUUCUAUCUUAUAUACUCUAUUGUUGAAACAAAAUUGUUUGAAUUUUCAAGAGUUGUUUAACAUAAUCUGUGAAGUAUAUUAGUGUGAGGAGCAGUGUAGUAGCACGCCACACUAUUAAUACGUGCAAGGCACUAAAAACCUUAUAUUUUGUAUCUGCAUCUUUAAAUGGAGUGCAUGACAUGUUAGAGAGUGUUACAUUAUUGAUUAACUAAUUAAUUAGUUUUGUUGUUGUUAUUAUUAUUAUUAUUUUGGUUUUAUUUUCCAAUGUUGAAACAAUUGACUUUAAAAAUAGAAUAUUGAAAUAAUUUUGGUGAAAAACUUCAACUAAGAAAAACACAAAGUCAAACCUACACAAUCCUUGAAGAAUUAUACAUAUACCUGAGCUCUUACAAUAAUUUAAAAUAAUUCGCACGUACAUUUAUUAUAUUAAAUAAGAGAAAAAUGAGUAGAUAGAAACUGUACUAUUAUUUUAUCAGAAUUAAAAAAUUAUUAUAUUUAUGUUAUUCUUACACAAUAACCUUAAUUAAAAGACAUGUACAAGAGGAGAUUAUUCUUACAAUGAAUCAAAGUGUCAAAAAGAAAAAAUAGUCAAAUCUGUAAAGAAAACAAUAUUAACAAAUGUGACCUCUGUAGUUGUAUUUAAUUUUAGUGGCUACUAGAUUGCAAGUUAAGUUUAUAAACAUGACCUGGAGUAUUAUUUCUUAUUUGCAUUAGUUCUUAGUUUUAUUUUACCAUUGGCAAAUUCUUCCUACACCCCAAUCAUUUUCAACCUCCACCCUACACAAUUUUAAAUUUUCAAAAAUUUGCUUCAUUCUAGAAAUAAAAAUCCAAAAACAAAAAUCAAAAUUUCAUUUCAGAUAAAAAAGUUCGUAAUACAAAAAAUUUAUUCUGGAAAAAAGUCCGGAACAUAUUCGGAAAACAGGGUGCACAGACAAUUGUUGGGUUGAAUUUCUCAUGCCAACCUUGGUUAAGGUAAUAUUAUUACACAUAAUGCUCUCUGCAAUUUACUUUUCAAGAUAAAUAUCUAAUUAUCAGAACAAGAGUUGUGAUUGUAAUAGUAAAUAUUUGAGUGCCAUUGAUGUGCAGUAUUGAACUGGGCUCAACUUCACAUAAGAUUUUCCAGUUAGACUUUACUGAUUUUGUGUAGUGUGCAGAACAAAAUCAUUCAAAACUAUAGAAGAUGUAAGAUUUCACGUUCAAAACUAGUUAACAUGAUCAGGUUGGUAAUCUCUGACUUCUGUAAUAUCUCAUCUGUCAAUUAACUGUAAAUUGCUGAUUGCCUACAAUACACUUAUGAACAUUGCAAACAUUAUGCAUACAUUGAAUGUCUCUGAAUUUUUUUAUUAGCUAUAACCAGACCAGUUGCAUAGCUUACUCUUCCCCUUUCUUUCAAUGUUGCCAAUAUCCAGAAAUGUACUCAUUUUCUUGCUCAUAAGACUGCUUGGACUUCAGUAGCUAUUUUGGCAUAUAACCUAUGUGUAUAGUCAAUAUAGCUAUUUGUAUAUUAAUGAAAUAAAAGACAGUCCCUUCAAAGUUAUCACAAGCAGAAAAAUUGGUUAAAAGUUGUGUUCGCUGCAUGAACAAUGUCCAUUAUAUUGCCUAAAAAUGGAAACGAUUCAAUUAGAAUAAAUCAUAUGACUCAUUAAUUCCAAAUCUCCACACUUAUUUGUAGCAUUGCAAGACAACCAUGAUUUACCCAAUCUUAAUUUAGAUUUGGCCAAUGUCGUAAAUGACCCUAAAGCUGCCGUAAAAGACAAGUAAAAAAUCAUCCUCGGACGGUUCCUUAAAAAUCUCAUUUUGCCAUCUACAAAGAAAACAUGAAUGCAGAAGUGAUCUUUAAUCAGUAACCAUAAAUGGAUCCACAUCCCCAAGCUCAGCAACCAAUGGCUUCAAAUUAUCAGUAUCUUCGUCUUCUGGGGCAAUGUAAGUUGGGAAAGGAAGUAGAGAUAUGUCAGGUUUUUCGUACACAGCAUCUUUUAUAAAAACAAAGUUCCCUGUAGCUCCUGGGACCUGUUGUGCAAAUCAUACAAAGGAAAAUUAGCCAUCUCUAAGUUGCAAAUCAACCAGAAAAUUUGCUUAAGUAAUUUGGGCAAAACAUCAAAUUGAAAUUUCUGUAGCAGUAUUGCAAUGUGAAAUGAUUCAGAUUUGAACUUAAAAAAAAUAAAAUUAAAGCAUCCACGCCUAGUCUGAUGUUAUGAGCAGAUAUUUCUUACCCUUUGGCUCCAAUCUGAAAUAGAAAAAGGAUUUACCUGGCCUUUCACCCACAUCAAAUUCCUUGCUGGAUCAAUUUUGUAGACCCAUACAUUUUUAACUGUUCUUUGAUCUCCACCCAUUCGCCCAGGCAUCUUUUUACCUUUAAAAACCUGAAGGGUAAUAGAAAACAUGUUUAAAACAAUAAGCGAGCAAAUAUUAUUGUAAGCAAAUUAGAACUUAUUCAAGGAAACCAUGGUCAAGCUCGCGAGUUUAGGUUCCUAGUCUACGAGUUGAGUCUACAAGUUGAGUUUAUGGAGCUCUGACAUCACAAGUCUACGUCUCGAGUUUGAUAACCUUGCAUGGAACUAAACAGACAUACCAAUCUAAAAGAGCACAACUUACCCUUCCAGUUCUAUUUCCUGUACCACCAAUGCUUCUAUGGGACAAUGAAGCACCAUGGGAUGCUGGCAUUCCCUUAAAUCCAUGCCGCUUCAUCGCACCCUGGAAACAAAAAAGAUAUUUGAAAUUGGCACCCAUGAUUUGAAGAGACUUAAAUCCACAAAACUGAAGGAUUCCCCACAGGCGUACAGAAAAUAUAAAUAAAAGGAAAACAGCAUGAUAAUGUAUAGAAAUACAGUAUAUACAUGUAUAAACUUCCAUACAUACAUAAAGUAAUUGAGUUUUUUUUCUAAAAAAGGUAAAUGCAAUAUUUAACAUGAAGGAAGGAGAAAAACACCUGAAAACCUUUUCCUUUGGUUAUUCCCGCAAUAUCAACAUACUGGCCGGGAACAAAGUGGCGAACAUUAAGUGAUGUUCCAACAGGAAGUAGUGCAUCCUCUGUUACUGGAAACUCCUUAAGCUUCCGCUUCAGUGGAACUCCUUGCGCUCUGAAAUGACCCACUUCAGGCUUGGUCAAAUGUUUAUCCUUCUUCUGUCCACAACCAAUCUAACUAGAAACAAAACAUUGAAAAAGUCUAUAAUUAGAUACACACAAACGCUCAAAAGCGUAACACCACUGUAAAAACCAAGGCACAGCCAAAUUGAACCACACCACAAAAUAUCCAAACUGUUCAGUUUAACAACCCAAACCUAUUUUCUUAAACCAGUUAGUAAAUUGAGCCAAUUUUCAAUCGAAUUUGUUUAUUUGCAAUCAAACCCAAAAGAAUCUAAAGAUCGUUAAUGAAAACUAGUGCAACUGUUAGUAAUGACUGCACCAACUUGAAUAUUGGCUUAUUUCAAUUCUCAUUUCUUUCCUUCCAAAUGCAUUCAAAUGCAGUUGUUCAUGUACAUCGUUUCAUUGAACUCCACCAAGAAUGCACACUAUCUAAACAAUUCAGACUUAGACAUGCUAUUAAUUUUCCUCUUAUUUCUUUGAGAUUAUGCGACCAACAAGUACAGUAGAAGAAAAAUAGAGGUUUUAGAUAGGGUAACUAGAAGAGAAGAGAGGUGUACCUGGAGAGAACAAAAACCUUCUUUCUCUGGCGUUUUAACCUGAGAGACAAUGUUAUCAUCCACCCACAGCACGGUGAUUGGAAUUCUAGCACCCCAUUUAUCCCAAAGCGCGCUCAUUCCACACUUUACCGCUAUAAGCCCAGUUCGCUUGGAAUUAGGGCUCAUCAAACCGGGUUUUAGAUCGAUAAUCCGAUUCUGAAUGGCUGCAUCGGAGCAAAGAAAUCGGAGCGGCGAGGGUGAAUCGACGGCGAAACGUUGCAGACGAGAAACGAAGCCUCUCGAAAAUGCGAGCAUGGCCGAGCUACACAAACGGAUCCGCGUAAAACAAAGUGAAUCGAAAACAUGAGCAUGCGAAGAAUUGCGUUGCGCUUACCCAGUGAGGUGAAGAUGGCGAAGAUGAAGAAGGGUCGCUCACACGUGCAACGGGAAGAAGAAGAAGAAGAAGGGUCGCUCGCACGUGCAACGGGAAGAAGAAGAAGAAGAAGAAGAAGAUUCGGGGGUUUAGGGUUUUGGUGAAGUGCAUUUGUUCAGGAGAACUGGGCCAUAUUGGGCCCCCUAUUUUCCUUGCUAUCAGAUCCUAGUUAUUUACUUUCUGCACCCCUUUCCCUUUUCGCUAUGCAAUUUUCUUCUCGUUAGUAUUGAAUCAGUAAGUAACAUAUCAGAUACUAUUUCAGUAAUAAGGUUGAAUUUUAUUAAUAAUAGAAAUCAUUUCAAAUAUGAAUAAUUAUUUAGUCUCUAAAUAUUAUUUAAUUUAAUUAAUAUAUUGAUUAAUUAUUUUGUUUCUAAAUUUAGUUAUUAUUUAAUAAUUUUUUUAUACUGUUAAGAUUUAAGAGCUUAAAAUUAUAAGAGAAUAUUCCAAAUAAAGUUUUCUUUAACUAAAUUGGACCUCAUCCCAAUUAUUUUCUUGAACGAUAAAAAAGAAAAAAAAAAUUGUCAAAAACUAAAGCGAAAUUAAAAUUUUAAAGAUAAUAUUUAAAAAAACAAAUGAAAGGAUUUAAAUUUUUAUUUAUAACUUUAAAAAAAUAAUAAUUUAACUUGAAAUUAUAAUUAUCAAUUUUUAUCCACUUUAAAACUCUCGCAUCUAAUACUCAUAAAAACAUUUCUUAAAAUUCCUAUUGUUUUUAUUCGGAAAUUUCAAAUGCAAAAUUAUACUUUAUGUUAUUAAUUAUUAUAUGUUAUAUAAAUAGUAUUUCAAAGGGUGAAAAUUAUAAGCUUUUGAAAAUAGUCACAGUUGAAUUUCAUGUUAUAUUUUCAAGCGAAUAAUAUUAUAAAAUUCCCAACCUUUUUACUACAUGUUUAAUGGUUUAUAUAUAUAUAUAUAUAUAUAUAUAUAUAUAAAAUGUAAGAAAUUUAAAAAAUGGUUCCAAAAUGUGUACAAAAUUUGAAUGAUAAAACGUAAAAAAAAACAUGUGGGAAUUUUAAGAAAUGAAAAUAAAAAAAAAAUUAUAAAAAAUAUUUAAUAAUUUUUUUAAUUUAUAUUUCUUUAUUAUCUUAAAAAAUAUUUAUCAAUAUUAUCUUUGUACUUUUUAUAUUAUAAAAUUAUUUAAUUUUAAACAACACUUUUAAUUUCCCUCCAAAAAUGAUCUAAUUCACUGGGUGUGGGGUUCUUCUUGCAGAUAGGAAAUGAUUGUUAUAUAAUAGUAUUUAAUUAAUAAUACAUAUUAUGAUGAUAAGAAUGGUAUAUAUAGUAAUAAAUUAAUAAUUAUAUCAGUAAUAAAAAAAAUGAAGAAAAUAAAAGGAAAAAGCUGAAUUUUCUACACCACAUUCUUAAAACAAAUAUGAGUCAAUCUUAUCAAAUCUUAUCACACAGUGGAUUGAUUUUGAGAUUUUGACAAAAAUAUAUUUUUAGUUCUUAUAUUCAUGAUAAAUUUUAUUUUAGUCUCUAUAUUUUUUAAUUUUAUGAAAUAUUUAAAGUUAAUCUUUCAUUGAGCAUAAAUUUAACAUUUACGACAACCUUCGUCCACCACAAAAUUGAGGAGAAACUAAAUUUAUAUAUUCUUAAAAUUUUAAAUAUUAAUUCAUUAAUUUUAAUUGACAAAAAAUUUUAAAAGUGUUAAUCAGUUUGAUUAAUUCAACCAACUUAAAAAUCCAAACCAAAUCAAUUAAAUUAGUUCAAAUUUUUAUGUAGGUUUUUUUAUAAAGGUGAAAAUAUACUUUUAUUUAUUAAUUUUUUUUAUUGUUGAUAAAAAAUUAACUAAAUACUAUGAAGAUUAGUUUGAAUACAAUAUUUGUGAUUUACAAAUAUUUAUUAUAUAAAGUUUUAUGAUAAUAAUAUUAUUUUUUUACUAACAAUACCAAUUACCUUUUUCAGAACAUAUAAAUCGACAAAAUUGAUUACCAUUUAUCAUUUUUAUAUAUAAACACACAUAAGUAAGCACAUUCGAAUAAUCAUCGUCAACUACCUCACAAGUGAUAUUACAUAAUACGUCUCAAACAUUGAAUAAGACACAAGGACCAAUAUGAAAUAGAAUAACUAAAGCUAGGCAAUUUAUGUUUCAUCCAAGUCAAUGCUUUGACCUAGGUCAUAUGAAAUAUCUCAUCAACAUUCAUCAUCCCUUAUUUAGGGACUACUUUAUUCCUAUAAUCACAAAUGAUCCAUACAAUUUCAAUUCACAAACCUUUCCACACAAGAUUAUGUGAUUAUGUUUUUUACUUAAAUGAAAGAGAUGAAACAAAAGGAAAUGUCUCAUUGAUGUGUUUUUAUAUCGAUAAAAAGUGAAUAAAUUAAUUGAAACAUUUAAGGAAUACUCCAACCUGUAUACAAAAAAAGAAGAAGCAACAUGGACAUGUGUCUCUCUUAGUAACAAAUCAACUCCAGCUAACAAAUUUUCCUAUAACAAUUAACAAAAAAACAUGUGACAACUACAUCUGAUGAAAACAAAAAUUUGUUACAAUUGUUAAAGAGCAUUCAUCCCUUAGAGUCUGUUUGCUUCAAUGGGAAUACUGUUUAUGGAUACGGAUAAACAUUGAUAUCCCUCAUUUGGAUCCAUGGAUGUAUGCAAAAGUGUGAGGGAGGGGAGAAGAUCAACGUGAAUAGUGAAAACCACCCCCUCCCAUACCGAGAACGGUGCGAAAAGACACAUCAACAUUGGUGUUAUUCCCAUUUUACCCUAGUUUUUGUAAAUGCAUGAACGUGGGCACAAUGUUUGUAGGUCCAAAUGUACAUCAAAUCUCACCGCUUCUAUUGUUCUCACUAAAUUAGAAUUAUUUGUUUUCAAUUUUAUCAAAUUUCAUUUUAUACUUUUUCUUGUUUCUUACACUUAUAUAUUUUUAAUUAAUACACAUGCCCUUAUAUGUUACAUUAACUUUUGUAAAUAUUAAAAAAAUAAACUUAAUUAAAUUUUAUGUUUUUAUCUCAAAUCUACACACAAAUACCUCAUAUGUUAUUAUUCAAAUAUGUUUCUGAAAAAGAUAAAUUUGUAAACUAACAUUUUACAUCUUUUAAAAAAAAUUAAAAAAAUCAUCACAACUAUCACAUUGCUUACCAACUUCAGUAAUUUUUCUCACAAAUCCACUCUAUUAUACCUCAAUCCAAACAUCCCCAGUUUCUUUACACUUUGUUCUUAAAUUCUUACACAUUCACUUUUCAAUCCAAACACAACCUUAUAGAGAUAGUAAAACCUACACUAUUAAAACAUCUCCAAAACAUAACACAUCAUUCAUAACUAAUACAACAUUGUAUUAGUUAUAUUUUUUUUAUUAAUAAAUAAAUAAAUAAAUAUGAAACACUUUAAGAAUAUUUUAAUUGUAUUACUUAAUAUGAAAAAGUUGUUAAGAAUAUUUUAUUUUAUAAAGAAUAUUUUUUUCUUAAUUUUAUUUUACUAGUUGCAGAGGUAUGUGUGAAAUACAAGUUCCCAAAAGGAGAAACAAAUUGAUCAGCAGAUCUACUUGAAAAAAGUUGAGAAACUCAAAUCUUCUCAAUCUUAUGUAUUAAUUCAAUUUGCAAACUAAAGUAUGUUUUAAUUUAUUGUGUAUUUUAAUAAAUAGAUUGACAUCAUAAAAUAAUUAAUGCUAAGAAUGCAGGCACUAAAAAAAGGAAAUAACGAUUGUUAGUUGUUUAAAAAUGGUUACUGAUUGAACAAAUAUAAAAGGUAUAUUCAAUAUUUCUUUAGUUGUAAAAAUGUAAAUAAUUAAGUUGAAUUGUGUUAUUGUAAAUGAAACGAUAACAUGAAAAGAAGAAAGUUAUAAGUUUUUUUUCUAACAUUUUUUUUUAUAAAAUUCAUGUAGUAUAUUUCAUGAAAAAAAAAACAUAAAAUAAAUAAAUAAAUGAGACUAAACUAAACUCAUAAAAUAAAUAAAUAAAUAAAUAUAAGAUUAAACUAAACUCAUAAAAAAAACAAAGAAUCUCUCGGAAAUAACUUAAACAAACAACUAGACUCAGACUUUAAUAACAUAAUCCUUUAUUUAAUUUUUGAUUUUUUAAACUAAUAGAGUUAAUAUUUUGUUUCAAUUUGGUUAUAUAUGGUCAAAAUAUUACUCAUAUAUCCUUAGUAAUUUGCUAGAAAACAUAUUUAAUUUGUUUUGUGGAAGCCUUUCAUCAUCAAAACUCAAGUUUUCAUCAAUUUUUUAUAAUAAUGAAAAUUGCACAAUACCAUUAACACAAUUUAUUUUAAUCAUGGUUAAAGCUUAAGUUUCCAUAAUCUCUGAUAUAUCAAAUAAUCUAAUUUUAUAAUCUGAUUUUUUUAUCGAUGAUGAUCGUUACUUGAGGUGUUAGCCAUGUCAAAUUGUAUAAUAAUACUUAACAUAAUUUUUUUUAUUAAAAAUAAAUAAAUUAAGUUUCCAUAUAUAUUGUUUUUCUUUGUCUAUAUAAGAUUAAGUGUUAUUGUGAAAAUUUAUCUAUUUUGUAUUUUAUUUUCUUUCUCUCUUAUGUCACUUUCCUUUGUGACACUUUCUUGAUUCCAUUUCAACUCAACCUUCAACCUUUGUCCUACAAGAACUUUUGGUAUGAUUCAAUCUAUAUAUGUUUUUCAUUACUUUUCUUAAUUUAUUGCAUAUCUAUUCCAUGUUUCAUAUUUUAGUGUUUUUUUUCCUUGCUUGAUUAAUUUCAAAUUCAAUAGGAAGAAGAAUCACAAAAUUGUUUUCCUAUUGCCAAUUAUUCAUAAAUUUUCUGCUUCAUUUCACUCAUUUUUCAUUUAUAUAUUUUUACUUUGAUUUACUACAAAAUUAUAUAGAGAUUUUACUAUAUUUUUUUCCCUGGAUUUUUCGUUUCUUUUUUGUUUAUUUUUCAUUUUUUUCGAAGUAUUUAAUCACAAAACACAGUUAUUUUAUUGUAACAUCCAAUUUUACAAGUUUUGCAUAUAUACUCUAAAAUCACUGUUUAAAAAUCUGUUGAAAAGUAAAGCAUUGUGUUUGAUAUGUGAAAAUUAUACUAUUUUUUCAAAGAAAAAAUAUAUAUACAAACACUCUUUAAAACUGAAAUAUCCAUAAAAAAAUACUCAGAUUUUUCAAAAAAUUGAUCGUUUUAUUUAUUUAUAUUUUAGAGCUUUCUGUCUAGGUUUAAUUUUCUUACUCCCUUCAUUUAAAAAAAAAUAUAAACAAGUCAGAUAUGUUUUAUGUGUAAAGAAAUAAAAGGAAUUUAGUGUCUAAUUAUGUACAAAUACAUUGUUUACACAAACUCUAGAUUCAUAUAAUAAAAUUAUAUAACAACUUUAACAACAUUUUGGUAUAUAAUAAAUGUUAUCAAUUUUUACAACAAUUACCUACAUAAUCAGAUUUGUUACCAUUUUUAAUUAGUUAAUUAAAAUUUUUUCAGUGACAGCUCAUAAAUAUUAAACUUUUAAUGUAGUUUUUGUUGUCUAAUUUAUCCGUGGUUGAAAAUUACAUAUAGCACCACUUCCAACUUUUUUUAAUUUUCAGUUUCGUAAUUCGAAAAUCAAAUAAUUAAAUCAUACACUAUAUAUAUAUAUAUAUAUAUAGUUUCACUCUUUUUUUUUAAUUUUAUUAUCCAAAUUUUUCAAAAUUAAAAGAUCAAUGCUAUUAACUAAACCCUAAACCCUCUUACCUUAAAUCUUUAUCCAAACUCUAACAUAGUACAAUCAUAAUCAUAUACAUGUUCACACCUCAUCAAACCAAGUACUAUUACAUUAGAGUCAAUUGUUUAAUUGUUUUUUUUUUUGUUGUAUUAGAGGAUGUUUUUAUGUAAUGCUCUUUUGAAGUGAUUUAUAUUUUUUUUAUUUGAGGACUAGUUUAGUAGUCUAUAGAGUCUGAAGAAUGUUUGUAAGUCAGGUAUUAAGCAAAGUGUCUGUAUAAAGUUAAGAUACUUCUUAAAUGUCUAAUUUUAUUUUAUUUAUUUUUUGUUGAUAAAAAAACAGUUACAACUUCUAAAUUAUAUUUUACAAUGAUAGAAUGAACUAAGAAAACUGGGUUGUGGUGUUUGUCAACCAAUGUUUAGUAUAGGUUACAUAAUACAUCGAUCCGUAAAAAAAGUAAAAAAAUAAGAACCACUUUAGAGAUGAUCUAAUCUUUUUCAUAACACAAAUCUCCUCUACAUAAUAAGCUUUUAUUUUGUAGAGAUUUUGUUUGACAGAAGAGUGAAACAAGAAGAACCACAAGCAAUGGAUUCUAUGGAUGCUGUUAUUUUCUGUGAUGACCCUUCAAAGAGAAACGUUGAAGAAGAGAGUGAAGAAGAAGUGGUGACAGUGGAGGAACUGGAGAGAAGGAUGUGGAGGGAUCGCAUGAUGUUGAGGAAGCUUAAGGAGGAGAAGAGGGAAAAGGAGAAAGGAGAAACAAUGGAGAUGAUGAAGAAGAAGGCAUUGAUUCGUGCACAAGACACAGUGCUGAAGAACAUGGUGAAGAUGAUGGAGAUUUGUGGUGCUCGUGGCUUCGUCUAUGGCAUCAUUCCUGAGAAGGGAAAACCAGUAAGUGGAGCUUCUGAUAACCUCAGAGCUUGGUGGAAAGAAAGGGUCAAGUUUGAUCAUAAUGGUCCUGCUGCUAUACAAAGGUCAAACUUUUCUUACACUUUCAUAUAUCUUAUUCAUUAAUAUAUGAUUAUAUAGUGAAAAAAAAAAUCUAAUUAAUUUGGAAUUGUUUAACAGUGAUUCUAAAAUCUUUUCUUUAUCUCAAUUAAAAGUAUUAAAAAUUUCGUCUUGGAUUACUUCUUAUUUACUUUAGUUUAUUUUUCUUUUCUGAUUGUUGUCUUCAUCUACGUAUUUGAUGUUUGAUGUCAAUUUAAAGUUUCUGUUAAUUUUUGUUUGAAUGUUUGGUGGCAGUGUUAUGUUUAGGCAUUUUUGUUUGUUGAUUGAUUGAGUUUUUCUUUUGAGUAGUGUAAUUGGUAUGUAUAUGAGUUGGAUUAUCCUUUAAGUGGUUCAUAUUUAUUUUUAUUUUAUAAAAAAAAAUAUUAACUACAUUUUUAAUAUAUUGUUUUAUGUCUUUUAUUUGUGCAUGUUAUCUUUAGGUUAUUACUUUUACUUUAAAGAUUUUUUUGUAUGUGUUUACUAUUAGUAAAAAAUUAGAAAAUUUCUUUGUAAACAUGUUUGUGAAAAAAAAAAUGUUAGAAAUAUUAAAUAUUAUACAAAACAUAUUUUGUUAAAACCUGUGUAAAAAAUUAUUGAUUUCACAUCAAAUUUGAGAAAUUAAUAAUUUUUUUUUAAAUUACAGUAAAUUUUGCAGAACUUUUUUGUACGAAAAUUUACGGGAGGAUUAAAAAUUAAUUAAAAUAUUCCAAGAAAACCCUUAGGAAAAAAAUUGCGAAUUCAAGUUAUUUUGCAGAAGUUUUCUUAUUAAAAAAAGCGAAUUUGAAAAUGCAAAGUAAUUUUUUUUUUGUUCUGAAAAGACAAUAUAGUGAAAUAGGUAGUGACCACAAUGUUCUUAAUGAACUAUAAGAACUGAAAUCAUCAUAAAACCAAAUAUAAAAUUACAAUAUUAACAUAAUAUUAUUGUCAGUAUAAUAAAUAAAAUGGUUAAAAAUGUCUUUAUACUCCUUGCAUUACUGCAAAACUUACAUAUAAAAAUACAUACUCUUUUCAUGAUUUAAAAUUAUUAAUAAUUGAGGAAAAAUAGCUUUAAAGAAAUUUAGGAAUGAAUGGUGAUAUGUUAACACCACAAAUAGGAGAAUAAAUUCAUUUUAUAAACCAAUAAAAUCAUAUUUUAAUCAUAUUUAAUUUAUUUUUUAUUUUAAAUAUUAUUAUAAUAUGGUGUGAAGUAUAUGUUUUUAGUGUGUGGUGUCAAAUAAAUCUUUUUCUUGAAAUGCUACCAGUAUUAACACACUCUUUUAGACUUAUUUUUUCUCAUUGGUUAAAAAUGGUUGAUGCAAAACCCUACAUUGGAAUGUUUAGUUUGGAAAAAUGUUUCAUUAAACUAUGAAUAGUGAAAAAACAUUGACAAACACUUAUAAUAAUAUUUUAAAUUAAAAAAAUAUUAAUUUAUUAAAAUAUGAAAAGUAUAUUUUUAUUGUUGGUGUCAAUACCUUUAGUUUGUCCCUUAUUAUUAGUAAGACUUUGAUUGUAAUUUUUUAAGAAUAUUUUGGAGGGUUUUUAUAAUUUGUAUGAAUUAUUUAAUUUGUCCCUUACUAUUAGUAAGACUUUGAUUGUAUUUUUUUAAGAAUAUUUUGGAGGGUUUUUAUAAUUUGUAUAAGGGUUGAAUUAUUUUUAAAGUGGUUUUCAUUUUUUUGUACUGAUAAGAAAGAAAGAAAAAACAUUACAUUGGAAUAUUUAGUAUUUGUUUAUAAUAUUGAUGUUUGAUGUUUGAUGAACCUGUGUACCAGGUAUGAGGAAGAAAGUGGGUUUGAUGACAUGGUUGGUGAUGCAUUCGAUGGAGAGUCACCAACAACAUACACUCUGAGUGAUCUCCCAGACACAACUCUUGGCUCACUCUUGUCAUCUCUAAUGCAGAACUGUGACCCUCCCCAGAGGAGGUACCCUUUGGACAAGGGCACUGCCCCUCCCUGGUGGCCCACUGGGCAGGAAUGGUGGUGGGCCCAGAUGGGCUUUUCCAUGGACCCAGGCCCACCUCCCUACAAGAAGCCCCAUGACCUCAAGAAGGUGUGGAAGAUCUGUGUGCUCAUUGCAGUCAUCAAACACAUAUCCCCAGACAUAGCAAAGAUCAGAAACAUUGUGCUUCACUCUAGGACCCUUCAGGACAAGCUCACUGCCAAAGAAACUGCCAUUUGGAAUGCCAUUGUGAAGCGUGAAGAGUCCUUCGCUAGGAGAUCAUACCCUCAUUUCUUCCACCAUACCCUCCCACCAAGACCACCACCAAUUGCCUAUGAUAAAAAAUUUACAAAUUUUCUUGGAGGACUCAACAACAAACCACAACCCAACAAUGUUGCUAAUGUUGGAGCAAGAAAUUUCUUUGUGGGCCAGUUCAAUCCACCACCACCAACAAGCAAUGUUGCAAUUGCUAAUGGCAAUAACAAUAACAAUAACAUGCUUACAAUGAUGAACAGAGGCACUGUCAUGCCACUAGACCAUGCUGUUGAAAAGAGAAAGGGUGGAGAUGUUCAAGGUAUUACAUUUCCUCAUCAGGCUUAUUCUUGCCAUAACAUCGAGUGUGGCUUUGGGUUCAGUGACAGGAACACGAGGAACAAUCAUCAGCUGACAUGCCAAUACAGAAGCAGAAAUCCUCUGCAAGUGGUUGGAAGUGACAGGAACAUUGGUGCAUCAGUUACUAAUCAAAAUCAGAGUUUCACUGACAUGGGGUGUGGUGUGAUGAACAACAUGAAUGUUGAGCAGAAGCAAUCCACAGGUGUUGGAAGUAGCAUGAAUGUUGCUCCUCUUGCAGGCCAAAACCAGAAUGUGCAAAGAGUUCAGACUGAGGAGAAUGGUUUGUUUGAUGGAAGGUUUUGUUUGGAGAAGGAUAUGUUUGGCAGCAACAUGUAUGUGCCUUCUUUAGCAAGCAAAACAGAGCAGCAGGUGCAAAAUGUUCACAGUUUGAAUGGGAAUUUGUCAACAUCGAUAAUAGUAGAUCCUCCCAUUGCAUGGGAUGCAAACAAUUCCCAAGCUGAAUUUUUGGACUCUCCUUUGUUGACAACACCGGAUAAGGAUAUUCUUUGGCCAUAACUUAAGGGAAAAUAGGUCAAAAGAAUAGUAAAUUAAUUACUUCUCUUAACUUUCACUCUUGUGUAAAUAUCUCCUUUGGCCUUGUUAAACUUCAAUUAUGUGUGCUAAAUGGUUCCCAUGGUCUUAGUUUUGGCAAUUAAAGGUGUGGCAAAUUGCUUUAAAUAUCUUGUCAUCUAGUGGUCCAACUUAACAUACAAGGGCUACCACAAGAGCUAGCUCUUCUGAUAAAAAAAAAAUUAAAAAAAUCCAAUCAACCUAAACUCUUCAUAAAUUUUUAAUCGAAUGCAUAUACAUUAGAAGUUAUAGACACCAAUUCGAGAAGGAAAAGCUUAUAGAAGACAACUUUUAUGUGAUUAAAGACUAAACUUUUAAUUGUGUUAAGAGAAAAUUUAAGAAUGAUCAAUUACUCCAUCUUUAAAAAUAUAAUUAUUCUUAUGCCUCCAAAUCACUGAAACAGUUACUUACUGGUUGAUUAUUUUGCAUUUUUAAUAAUAUAGUUGUCAAAACUAAAACUCUAAGAGUCUAUUUCACAAAAGUUUGAGGUUAAAAGAAGAACCGUUGAAAAUGGUUUGUUAUUUAGAAGUAUGUGUGGAGAUGGUAGGUUUUGAAUUUGUGGAUUUUAGAGAAAUAGGGUUGUUUUAAGGAUGAAGAACAAAGGUUAAUGUGUCUAUUAGUGGAGUUUUCUUGGUCAGUGUAAAAAAAACAUGUAAUUAUGCUUAAUUCAAAGUAUGAAUGUGAUGAACUCUUAUUUUUGUGUGUGUUCUUUUAUCAGCAUGCAUGCAUGGGUGUUAUUUAAUUACUCUUUUGCCUAUUUCCAAGGGUAGGAGGAAAUUUAUUUGAAGGGAUGUAAAUUCUUAAUAUCAUAUUUUCUCCACUAAAAAAGUGUGUAGGUUUAUAAAUUUAAAAAAUAUAUAUAUUUUAUUAAAAAUAUACACAUUAUAAUUUUUACAUCAAAUAAAUAUAUUUAAAAUUAAAAUUUAUUUUGUUCAUAUAACUUAUAUUUUUUAUUUUUAUCUAUUAGAUAUAAUUUAAAAUAUUGACGACAAGAACUAUGACAAUAUUUAUCAUUUAAUUUAUUUUUUAAGUUAUGAAUGCUUGGACCUCACAUAAUUUGAUAUGAUUCUAAUUAUUAUAAACAGUGAUGUUUUAAAGUAUUUGCGAUGAUUUUUAUGUCUGCCUUAUAUAUUAUUUUUUUUAUGAUUAUUUACUAUAUAUUAUUUUUUAUAACAGCUUAUGUAAUAUAUAUGUAUUGUAUACAUUAUAAUUAUGUAUAACAUACUGAAUUACUUACUAAAAGCCUAUUUUGUAAUAAAAUAAAUAAAUAAAAACUAUUAUUUUAAUUUUAUAUUUGAGUUAACCUCCUUAAUCAUUAAGAAAGAUAAUAAAUGUAUAACUAUUAAAAAUAAUACAUAUUUGACUUUUUAAAACUAGAUAUGCUUUUUACAUUUUUUAAAAAGUUUUAUCUCAUUUUAAGUGAACUAGUUUAUAUAUAUUGUUUUAAUAUAAACAUUUUACAUAAGUUAUUGUAUAUUUUAUAAUAAUUAAUAAAUUGGUGUAGAUAUUAUCCAUAUAUAAGGUGAGGAUAUUGGUUGAUAAGUAUAUAGAAAUUGAGUUUUUACAUGUAGAACACAAUUUAUGUAGAAUGUGUCACUUUUACAUUAGUUUUACUAUAUGGGUAAAAAAAAAGUGUAAAAAUGGUUAAUAUAUCAAAACCUAAAACACGAGAAACAAGAAUUGAAGAGAAAAAUUGAAGUGCACAUAUGAUAUUAAAAUAGAUUUGAAACAAAGAUAUGUGUAGUGGAAGCUGUCAAAGUUGGAAAAAAGAGUAAUUUCAAUAAUGUGACACUAAUUUUUCACCAUUUUCAUCUCAAUAAGGACGAAAACCAAAUGUUGGAGACUCCACAUCGACUAAAAUUAGAGCAUUUCAUUGUAUAUAAAUGAGUGCAAAUCUCAACCUUAUAAGCUGGUUUUAUGGGGUUGAGUUAAAUUUAAAAUCCACUUUGUAAUACCAAAAAUAAAUAUGUUAUUUCUUCCAUAAUGAACCUUGUUUUUCAUUAAAAGAAUAACAAUUUUCUUGAAACGUUGUUUGUUGUCACGUAACAACAAAGUAAUUACAUCUGACACUCUUUGUAAUAAGCUUGAAGAUCCAUUGCACAAGCUCAUAUAAGGCAAAACUUACUACAAUCACAGUUUUUUCUUAACUCAUAAGAUUCAAAGCAAUUUGCAAGAGGACAAUGAAGUCUUAAGAUUUAAAAAAUGGUGAAUAAAAAAGAAAAACAACAGUUUUUUAUAAAGUGUUGAUUAUGGAUGUUGAAAAUUGUGUCUUUUCAAAGAUACACUAGAUCAAUCUACUUUUUCUUUUACUGUUUGGUUCAUACUUGUUGAAGAAAUUUUCUUCACCAAACAAGCUCAUAAAUAGUAUAUAUUUUGAUCAACUGUAGCCAAAAGUCAUUGUUGUUGAAUGGUCAAAACUGCACCGCAGACUUCGCGUAUAAGAAAUCUUCAUGCUGUUCUGCCAGAGAAGCUAGCCUCAUAGAUUGGUUUCUUUUCCAACAACAUAAUAAUACUUCAUGUCUCUGCCUUCAACCAACUCUCAUGCACAACUACUUCUCACACUGCAAGGGACAAAAAGUUUUACUAGCUUUUUACUCUUACUUCUUUUCAACAUUUCUCCUGUAGCACUGUUUUUCUUCUUCUAUGACUGCUAUUUUCCAAUUCAAUGCAUCAUAUAGUCUAAUUCCUCUAGUCAAACUGUCAGACUGUUAUGGAUAAUUCUCAAUGGAAUAGAAACUAAUUAUCAUGUAAUUGUUGAGUGUUUUGUAAUGUGUUUGUGGAAUUUUGGUUGUGUUAGGAGAUGGUUUGUGUGUAUUGUUUUGACUAAAGACCGGUUAUAAGGAUUCUGAUAGGGUAGAUGAUGAUUUUUGUUGAUUUGACUUUCAAUUGAGGAUUGGUUUGGUAGUUUGCAUGGUCUAAAGUAUGUUUGUGUGUCAAGUGGGCAAGUUGACCUUGGUUAUUUUCUGAAUAAGAAUUGAAACAUCUCUAAAGUAUCUGUAUAAGGGUUGAGACACCCUGAAGUGUCUCAUUUUAUUUUAUUUAUUUUUUGUUGAUAAAAAAAAUCAACUUGUUUUCUGAUAGAAUUAGUAUAGAACUGUUAAAUACAUAAAAAAAUGUGAAUGGUAGUGUGAGAUAUUCAAUAACAACACCAUAUGGAGGCAUAUACCAAAUUUUGUCUGCUAAUACAAAGUGAAUCAGAAGAAUGAAGGAAUAAAAAAAGUUCUCUGUUUACAAAGUUAUGGACUGAAGGGAGGAUAAGUGCAUGUAAAUUUGUGUGAAUCUUCUGAUAUCUCUGCUAAAUUCCUAUGAAUUGAAAAGAUAGAUACCAGAAGGGUUCUUGUAGGAACUAGAGAUUCAAUUAUAGUGUUGGCUAAUGGUAAAAUUGUACUAGAUGUCAUUUCAAUGCUACCAAAGUGAACAGAAUGAAAUUGAUUGAAAGUGAUCUUGAUGUUACAAAAUUUAUAUGAAACCAUUCAACAAGGGUGAGGUCUGUAGUCAUGCUCAAUUAUGGGUGUGGUUCGAGUGCCAUGUGCAGUAGGAGCUCUCACAUGUCCAACCAUUGACACCUGAAGGGCUUCUUCUUCAUAGGCCCUUCUCUCCAUCUCCACCAUCCUUGAUCUCUUCUUCACCCUAACUAGCAUGGCCACAAGAAGAAGGCCUAAGAGAAAAGCUCCCAAAGCAGCACCAAUGGUACUCCCAACAGCCACUUUCCACCUACUUAUAGGCCUGUUCCUGAACUCAUCUGGUGGGGACUCCACAACCAAACCAAAAUGGCCAUGCCUCUUUGCAACACAAACAAGUGGUGUUGAAGGGUUGCCCUUUGCUAGUGUCAUUCUUCCAUCACCUUCAAAGCUAGCACACAAGGGCUUCAUCCCAUCUUCCUUGCUCAACUUUGUGGUGUUUGUGAAGUCAAUUGUCAUUGCUCUUUCUCCAGCCACAAUCCCAAGUUGGAAAGGGUUGCUUGAGUUUGCAUCAUCAUCAGCAUUGUAGGCCAGAAGCCCCACAAUUGGAGACACAAGCUGGUACCCUGAUAGAUCAUAGUUAGCAUAAUAGAUAGAAGACCAAUUGUGGCCCAUGUUUUGUCUGAUCAACAUCACCCUCUCAAUACAUGGAUGAACAGUUACACCAGUACCAAGAUGGAAUUCCUUCAACUCUGCACCAUACCUUCUCAAACUUCCACACCUAAACCUCACAGCAUCAACUCCAAUGCCUGAAAGAUUUGCAGGUAAGUCCACUGACUGUGGUAUUGCUGUCCUCAAGUUCUUGUCCAAUAGUACCUUGAACGUGUGAUCUCUUAUGAUGAGGUCAAGAACAUGAGCUGACUUCACACUCUGACCCUCAGAUCCCGAAAAUGUAAAAGACACCCAGGAAAAUGUCAUCAAAAACAGACCAAAAGCAGAGUCCAUGAGAGAAAAAAUCCUAGAAUAUUGUUCCCAAGGUAACAACAGUCCUUGUUCUGUUGCAAUCCUUGAAAUUGUGGUCAGUUUGGUCACAAUCUUUGCUAUUGCAAUGAAAUUGCAGACAAAUGUGGUGCUGCUAUCACAAUUGUCGUGACCAGAUCCUAAAACCUUGAAAUUAUUUUGAAAAACUCGAUUAUUAUAGCACUAACAAUGUGUCUAGGUGAACCCCUUUUGGCUGGUAUUCUCUAGCUACAACACCAAAAGUAAAAAGCACUGAUAUUUGUUUUUCUCCUAAGGAAAGACCAUGUUUUUUUUUUCCUGUGGAAUGAGUUCCAAAGAAUAAAGAUUGUGGAGUGGUAAUAGAUGAGAAGGAUAAUAAGGGUAGUAGCAGUAGUAGACACCAGAUGAAGGAAAUGGAAAAGGGUAAAGCAGAAAAGUACUUGUUCUUGGAGAUGUUCCCUCAACAGAACUCAGACAUGGUGUUGUUGAAGUGAUGUAAGUGGCACAGUGAAAUUGAAUGAGAAUAAAAAUGUAGAGAUUUAUUGAAGGCAAAGAAGAAUGGGAGAAAAGUGGUGUUGGAGAUCCAUGUAUGAAUGUGGCAUUGAGAAGAAAGAAAAGGGUAAGAAGAAAUGAUUCUUGGGCGUGGAAUGAUGAUGACAGUUCAUGGUGAAAUAAGAAAAAUGGGAAAAGAAAUGAAGGGGUUGGGGAGAGGGGUUUAAGCGUGCUGAGAAAUGAAACUAAAGCAUCGUUGUUGUGCAUGGGGUCCAAUAACACUGAUUGUGUUGGCUGUAACAUGCCAUGUUCCCCACUUGUUGCACUCAAUGCCUCUAAUGUUAGGCUUAGCACACACAUGAACAUCACCUUUCCAAACUCAAAAAUCCAAACCCCUUUUCCAUUUUUAUCUUUAAAUUUCGAAACCAUAUUAAAAAGGCUCAAUCUUUUCAAAACUAGUAUUAAUAGUUAUAAAACUAAGAUUUGUAUCUAAUUAUAUAUAAAGUAUUUUUUAUUCGUAAUUCACGUGAGAUUUUCAAUACAAAAUAUUAUAUGAUUGGAUGAUUAACAAGUUAAUUUAAUCAAACCAUGAUUUGGAGGAGCAAUUCAGCCAUCACUGAUUCCUGCAUUACUGAUACAGACCAUUACUUUUCUCGUCCCAUCAUUACAGACUCAGAACACUUGAUUAGUAUCAACAAGAUCACAUUUAAGAAAAUGAGGUUUUUAAUACUAAUUUAUCUUGGUAAAUACGUCUGGUCAAUAGCUGUUUUUAAGAAAGAUUUAAAUUGAAUAAUGUCCGAAUGAUUUGAUCUGAAUUGAGCUCAUUAAAAUUUAUCUUGUAUAAAAAAUAAUUAAUAUCAUUAAUGAAUAUUUUCUUUUUAAUAUAAUUUUGAUUUAAUAUACAAUUUAUCAUAUGAUUAAGAUGGCUUCAGUUUUGUUGUAAAGUUUUUAAAAUUGUUAAUUAAUAAAAAAAGGAGGAUUACGAGGGCGUAAGCCCCGUUCGGUUAGUCAAGUUGACCAUGUGAAUGACUGUGAAUCGGCCAAAUUCUCAGGUGGGAAUUGCAUAGGCUCCACACGUGUCUCAGCCCCAAAUCCCAACUCUAAGAUACCCAUUACAGGGCCUGCAUUGCUGCAGAGAAGGCCCGGGGACUUUCCUGAGCCCAGCAAUUAGCAUGGGCCCAAUCACAUCGCCUCAUAAUCCAGUGGUAACACUUAGCGUAGUCAGAUGGUAUAUAAAGAUGUUUAAAGUCACACUUUCUAUCGAUGUGGGACAUUUUCAAUGCACUUCUAAAGAGAGAUUAAAUAAUUUAAGCAAUCUUUCGAGUGAUGAUAUUUUGACACCAACUCCACUUUACGUUCACAACAAAAUAUUAAUAUUUAUAAUAACAAAAAUUUAAAAAUAUAAAAAUCUUUUCAAUAAAAAUAUAAAAAAAAUAAAAAAUAUUAAAAUAAUUUUUAAAAUUAAAAAAUUAUAAAUAUUAAAAUAUUAAUAUUUAAUAAGAUGUUGGGUGAAACAUGUGUCAAAUUUUUUCUUCUUCUUUUUAACCUUUAUUCUAAUAUCUACACGAAGUAUCUAGUUGAAUUGUCCACGUCUCAUUUACACACUUUUCUUUUAGUUUUUUUUAUAUACUUCAUGUUAAACAUCACUACUAUUAGAUAAACAAAAAAUAUUUAAAGAAAAAAGAAAAAGUAAGAGGACUAAAGAAAACUUAUAAUACGAAAGAACUUUAGAAUUUGAAGGUGCUGAAGUGCGAUUGCAAAAUCUAUAUUGUAAUUGCAAGAUCUAUAUGGAAUUUAAUUAAUUGCAUGAUGUUCUUGAAGUUGUCCGGUUGUUGCACUACGGAGAUAGAUCUAUAACAUUUUAAAUUUACUAUAAUAUAUACUAUAAUUAUAAAUCUAGUUUUAAUAUAAAUAAAAAUAUUAAUUAUAAGAUAUUUUUCAAAUGAAAAAAAAUUAUUUAAUAUAAAAAAAUAAACUUAAAAUUGAUUUUAGUUUUUGAAGUUUAAAACACAUAUGCAUAAUUUAACCCUCAACUAUUAUGGGUGGAAUUAUAUUUUAGACAUACCAGAAUAAUUCAAAGAUUAAGAAAGAAAGGUGUAUUUAAAAUGUCAUUAAUAUCAACAGCUAAACAAUGUGGGACUAUAUUGAUUAUACCGAAAGACUCCUUUAAUAUGAGAAAUCAUAAACACAUGUAGAUAACUCAAAAUCCCAAAAACCACAAAUAUAUUUUUCAGCAGAAGUAAUAAAGUGGAAAACCAAUUACCAUGAAGAGAGAAGACAUUAAUAUCUUAAGAGGUAACACAAUGUAGAAGAGAGGGGAGGAUCCUUAGUUAUAAGGAGAGAGUGAGAAAUUUCUUCUCUUUUAGUAGGUUUGGUAAGUUUAAAUAGAAACAAAUUUUAAAGAACAAAAAUAACUAAUUACUAUAUUCACUAAAUUAAAUGUUAUUUUAAAGACUAGAACAAAUUAUUGGUAUCUAAAUUAUUUUUUAUUAUUGAUAAAUAGUUUUUAAAUUUGUAUCUAAUUAGCUACCAAAGUUUUAGAUAUCAACUUUUGAAUCAAAAUAACUGGUAGCUAAAACCUAUAUAGCUAAUUGGAUAUUAAUUUAAAAAUUAUUUAUCAAUAAUAAAAAUUAAUUUAGAUACCAAUAAUUUUUUUAGUCUUUAAAAUAAUAUCUAACUUAGUCAAUAUAACAACUAAUUAUUUUUAUCAUUUAAAAUUAAUGUUUUUAUUAAUAAUUUUUUAGUAAUGAUAAGUUUUUCUUUUAUAUAAAAGCUUGUUAGACAUCAUUAUGCAAUUUGACAUCUUAGUUAAACUCACCUCAAGUAAUAACAAUCAUCUGCCAUCACAUGAAAAAAAAAUAUAUUAUUAUUACAAAAAAGAAAAUACAAAAGUAUGAAGUAAUGAUAAAUUAACUAAUAACUUUUCUAACUAAUUUGACCUUGAUUAUUUCAUUUAUGCUUGAAAAUAUUUUUCACUUGAAAAAUGUGACCUCGUCAAGUCUUGGAUUAUCUAUAGAAAAAGACAUAUAUUUUGACAUUUUAAUUAAUCUUUUAAUUCCUUGAUUAAGUAAUUUAUAUAUUUUAAUUAAAUUAUUUUAUUAAUAUAAGCAUGAGAAGGUUUAAUAAGUUCCUAAAUACUAAUUAUGGUUUAAUAUUUAUUUAUAUGUGAAGGUUUAGAUUCUUAAAUUGUUUAUUUCUAUUCUUUCAACAAGUUAACCUAAAUAUACAAAUAAAACCCACUUGUGUAAAAUUUACAUUAAAUAGAAUUUAAAUUUCUAUAAAAAAAAAUUACCAAUCUAAUUUAUUUAUAAAGAAUAGUAUAAAAUAAGUUUUUCCAUGAAAUUAUAAAUUCUCAAGACAUAUAUAUUUUAUAAAAAAAGGAGGAUUACGAGGACGUAAGCCCCGUUCAGUUAGUCAAAGCUGACCAUGUGAAUGACUGUAAGAUCGGCCAAAUUCUCAGGUUGGAAUUGCAUAGGCUCCACACGUGUCUCAGCCGCAAAUCCCAACUCAAAGAUACCCAUUACAGGGCCUGCAUUUCUGCAGAGGAGGCCCGGGGACUUUCCUGAGCCCAGCAAUUAGCAUGGGCCCAAUCACAUCGCCUCAUAAUCCAGUGGU